UCCGUGCUGAAAGUAGCUUGCAAGGG
rnacentral:sRNA from 1 species